AGCUCCAAUAGCGUAUAUUAAAGUUGUUGCAGUUAAAAAGCUCGUAGUCGGAUUUCGGGUCGGGCCGAGCGGUCUGCCGAUGGGUAUGCACUGUUUGGCGCGGCCUUCUUUCCGGAGACCGCGGCUACUCUUAACUGAGCGGGCGUGGGAGACGGAUCGUUUACUUUGAAAAAAUCAGAGUGUUUCAAGCAGGCAGCUCGCUCUUGCAUGGAUUAGCAUGGAUAAUUGAAUUGCAUGGAUAAUUGAAUUGCAUGGAUUGCAUGGAUAAUUGAAUAGGACUCUGGUGCUAUUUUGUUGGUUUCGAACACCGGAGUAAUGAUUAACAGGGACAGUCAGGGGCACUCGUAUUCCGUCGAGAGAGGUGAAAUUCUCAGACCAAUGGAAGACGAACCACUGCGAAAGCAUUUGCCAGGGAUGUUUUCA
rnacentral:rRNA from 1 species